AGGAUUUAUGCUGGUGACUUUAGGAUGCUG
rnacentral:piRNA from 1 species